UGGGUUCUGAUAACUUUGUA
rnacentral:snRNA from 1 species